AUACGUAGGUGGCAAGCGUUGUCCGGAAUUAUUGGGCGUAAAGCGCGCGCAGGUGGUUCCUUAAGUCUGAUGUGAAAGCCCCCGGCUCAACCGGGGAGGGUCAUUGGAAACUGCAGGACUUGAGUGCUGGAGGGGAUAGCGGAAUUCCUAGUGGAGCGGUAAAAUGCGCAGAUAUUAGGAAGAACACCGGUGGCGAAGGCGACUGUCUGGUCUGUAACUGACACUGAGGCGCGAAAGCGUGGGGAGCAAACAGGAUUAGAUACCCUGGUAGUCCACGCCGUAAACGAUGAGUGCUAAGUGUUGGGGGGUUUCCGCCCCUCAGUGCUGCAGCUAACGCAUUAAGCACUCCGCCUGGGGAGUACGGUCGCAAGACUGAAACUCAAAUGAAUUGACGGGG
rnacentral:rRNA from 1 species